rnacentral:rRNA from 1 species
GACGAACGCUGGCGGCGUGCCUAACACAUGCAAGUCGAACGGAGUUAAGUGCUUCGGUAUUUAACUUAGUGGCGAACGGGUGAGUAACGCGUGAGAAACCUGCCUUUCAGUGGGGGACAACAGUUGGAAACGACUGCUAAUACCGCAUGAUACUUUUGGGGGCAUCCCUAAAAGUCAAAGCUUUAUGUGCUGAAAGAUGACCUCGCGUCUGAUUAGCUGGUUGGUGAGGUAAUGGCUCACCAAGGCGACGAUCAGUAGCCGGACUGAGAGGUUGAACGGCCACAUUGGGACUGAGACACGGCCCAA